rnacentral:lncRNA from 1 species
GCUGGGCAAAGCAAGCAAGAAGCACGCGUGGAGUGGCUCCACGCGUGCAUGCAUAGUGCGAAGGUAAUUAAUUUACCUUCGCACUGUGCAACAUUACAUUCAAAAUGAAUGUACAAAAAAUCGAAAGCAAAAAAUGGCUUACCUGUUCUCUGGAGACGGUGGGGAUGGUGACAGUGCAGUGGUGCCUCUCGUCUGCCUAC